GAUGUCUACUAGUUGUCGGGGAUUAAUUUCCUUGGCAACGCAGCUAACGCGUGAAGUAGACCGCCUGGGGAGUACGGUCGCAAGAUUAAAACUCAAAGGAAUUGACGGGGACCUGCACAAGCGGUGGAUGAUGUGGAUUAAUUCGAUGCAACGCGAAAAACCUUACCUACGCUUGACAUGUCCGGAACCCUGAAGAGAUUUGGGGGUGCUCGAAAGAGAGCCGGAACACAGGUGCUGCAUGGCUGUCGUCAGCUCGUGUCGUGAGAUGUUGGGUUNNNNNNNNCAACGAGCGCAACCCUUAUCAUUAGUUGCUACGCAAGGGCACUCUAAUGAGACUGCCGGUGACAAACCGGAGGAAGGUGGGGAUGACGUCAAGUCCUCAUGGCCCUUAUGUGUAGGGCUUCACACGUCAUACAAUGGUCGGUACAGAGGGUUGCGAAGCCGCGAGGUGGAGCCAAUCCCAAAAAACCGAUCGUAGUCCGGAUUGCAGUCUGCAACUC
rnacentral:rRNA from 1 species